AUUGAACGCUGGCGGCAUGCCUUACACAUGCAAGUCGAACGGUAACGGGCCUUCGGGUGCCGACGAGUGGCGAACGGGUGAGUAAUACAUCGGAACGUGCCCGAUCGUGGGGGAUAACGAGGCGAAAGCUUUGCUAAUACCGCAUACGAUCUACGGAUGAAAGCAGGGGACCGCAAGGCCUUGCGCGGACGGAGCGGCCGAUGGCAGAUUAGGUAGUUGGUGGGAUAAAAGCUUACCAAGCCGACGAUCUGUAGCUGGUCUGAGAGGAUGAUCAGCCACACUGGGAUUGAGACACGGCCCGGACUCCUACGGGAGGCAGCAGUGGGGAAUUUUGGACAAUGGGCGCAAGCCUGAUCCAGCCAUGCCGCGUGCAGGAUGAAGGCCUUCGGGUUGUAAACUGCUUUUGUACGGAACGAAAAGCCUUCUUUUAAUACAGGAGGGUCAUGACGGUACCGUAAGAAUAAGCACCGGCUAACUACGUG
rnacentral:rRNA from 1 species